rnacentral:rRNA from 1 species
CAGAGGGGGAUAACAUUUGGAAACAGAUGCUAAUACCGCAUAAGACCACGAUCCGACAUCGGGACGAGGUCAAAGGAGCAAUCCGCUGAGGGAGGGGCUCGCGUCCCAUUAGAUAGAUGGCGGGGUAACGGCCCACCAUGUCGACGAUGGGUAGCCGAGCUGAGAGGCUGAUCGGCCACACUGGAACUGAGACACGGUCCAGACUCCUACGGGAGGCAGCAGUGGGGAAUAUUGGGCAAUGGGCGCAAGCCUGACCCAGCAACGCCGCGUGAGGGAAGAAGGCUUUCGGGUUGUAAACCUCUGUCCUUGGUGACGAAGAAAGUGACGGUAGCCAAGGAGGAAGCCCCGGCUAACUACGUGCCAGCAGCCGCGGUAAUACGUAGGGGGCGAGCGUUGUCCGGAAUUACUGGGCGUAAAGGGUGCGUAGGUGGCCUUUUAAGUUGGAUGUGAAAUACCCGGGCUUAACUUGGGGGGUGCAUCUAAUACUGGGAGGCUAGAGUGCAGGAGAGGGAAGCGGAAUUCCUAGUGUAGCGGUGAAAUGCGUAGAUAUUAGGAGGAACACCAGUGGCGAAGGCGGCUUUCUGGACUGUAACUGACACUGAGGCACGAAAGCGUGGGGAGCAAACAGGAUUAGAUACCCUGGUAGUCCACGCUGUAAACGAUGAAUACUAGGUGUAGGGGGUAUCAACUCCCCCUGUGCCGGAGCAAACGCAAUAA